CGAUCCUCAUGGGUCUACUUCGGGAGUUGAAAAUGGCCGAUGUUGCCAAGAGUCGUGAGUGCCGAUGACGUUGUGGAGGGUAUCGGUCUCCGGUAUGCAGGCUGUGGAUUUUCGAGAGGGUUUUGCCAAUGAGGAUACCGUGCUGGAUAAAAGGGGCAAAUUCCCUGAAGAUUCGGCUAUGGAUUUCGCGAGGAGAAAAGCGUAUACUUUCCUCACGGGUGCCAUUAUCUAUGAUGGAAGCUGUGAAAGGGCCCGUGAAAAAAAAAGAAGUGAGGACGCGGAACGAGUAAGAAAAAACUGGCUGUAUAAUAAGCCAAGGGAUUUUCGUGCUACGUAUAAGCCGACCUGCAGACUCCGACGUUAGCAAUGCUAACGAGAAAUUGCUCAGGUUCAUCAAAAGAAAGAAAUCGAACGAACAAGGAAUCAAUCGACUCCUUCGAGACAAUCGAUUCUACUCGUUACGUUCAGUUUACCGUAUCACGUUUAAAGCAAACUCGGAAGACUAACGAGAAUGCAACUUCUUCCCCAAGGGACGUCAAAACGAGAGAAGCAUCCUCUUAUACCUUUCGUGAGAGGAUACAACAGCAUGGGGUGAAUAAAGGAAGGAUAUCGCACGUAUAACCAACCCCUGGAAAAGUUUAUCGGAUUAAACCGGCUGCACCGAUAUAUCACUUGUGCUUAAGCAUUAUCAAAUUAUUGGAUUAGGCAGACAUGUCGACUACGAACAGUUCAACCGCCAAGUUUCAAAAAAUGGUAGAUUCGUUCAGGCACUCGCAUUACGUUGAAUAUCAAUUUCGUGAGAAUAUCCCACUGGCUCACAAUGGUCGGAUAGAUGGAUGGAGACUUGCAGAAUUCCGUGGCGUACCGCGCUAAGUACUUGGGUGAAAGUUCGCUCCUUAUUAUCGCCACGGCACCGCUUCCCAGGUCACCCCUUUUCGUGGCUACCUCUACAGACUCGCAAACUACCCCGGAGGCCGGCUAACUUUUUAACUAGUUGCAAAUUAAAAUUUACCUCGAGCACAUCUCUCGUGCUGGCACGUUCGGCCCACUGGGAGUUGAGCGAGUAGUGACUCAUGAGUCUCUUCAAAUAUUUUAUUAAGAAAGUAACGUUGACUCAAAAAGAAGGAAAGAGUGAAGAGAAGU